CAGAAAGAAUAUUUAGACAUCAGACCUGUAAGAAAAUAGUGGUAUUACGCCUGAGGCAAAAAUAAUUUCGUUGAAAAUCAGUUGUUUCCCCUUCGCUAUGUUUCCGGUUUCGGAUUUUAACAGUAAAACAGGGAAGCAUGUGAUGUUUACUUUUGUCUAACUACCUUUUGUUUAACGAUGAAGGGAUCUGAGACUUGUAAUACUGUUUACUGAUUUGAUGAUAUUCCUUGUUCCUUUGAUGGUUCAUUCCACUAUACAGCUGUUUCAUAUAACAUACAACAGCCAGGAAAUUGGCCUGUUUACUUUAAGAUCCCAAGAAAAUGUAACAUAUUUUGGAUGUGCUUUGAGGAAUCAGGAAUGCAAGUGUUUCCUCUUGUUUUUGAAGCAACUCAGUUGGUUAAGGGCAG
rnacentral:lncRNA from 1 species